rnacentral:rRNA from 1 species
CCUUUGCGAUAAGUCAUUCAAGUUUCUGCCCUAUCAGCUUUGGAUGGUAGUGUAUUGGACUACCAUGGCAGUCACGGGUAACGGAGAAUUAGGGUUCGAUUCCGGAGAGGGAGCCUGAGAAACGGCUACCACAUCUACGGAAGGCAGCAGGCGCGAAAAUUGCCCAAUCCCGACACGGGGAGGCAGUGACAAGAAAUAACAACUCUAGGUUUUCUUAGAAGUGUAAUGAGGAUAAUUUACAAACCUUACCGAAUGCAAUUGGAGGGCAAGUCUGGUGCCAGCAGCCGCGGUAAUUCCAGCUCCAAUAGCGUAUAUUAAAGUUGUUGCAGUUAAAAAGCUCGUAGUUGAAGUUCUGAUUGCUCAGGUCUUCAGCCUUUAGGCGGAGAUUCCGACAGUCAUCCGCUUGCAAGCAUAUGUUCGACCUUCAAAAGUCGGCUAUGUGAGUAAGCAUUUUACCUUGAGAAAAACAGAGUGUUCCAGGCAGGUUUGUCCGGGAUGCAUUAGCAUGGAAUAAUAGAACAUGACUGAAGUCUAUUUAUUGGUUUAAGGCUUUAGUAAUGAUUAAUAGGAACAGUCGGGGGCAUUCGUACUCAGCAGUCAGAGGUGAAAUUCUAAGAUUUGCUGAAGACGAACUAAUGCGAAAGCAUUUGCCAAGGAUGUUUUCAUUAAUCAAGAACGAAAGUUAGGGGAUCAAAGACGAUCAGAUACCGUCCUAGUCUUAACUAUAAACGAUACCGACUCGGAUUCAGAUGAAUCAUAAUGUUCAUUUGGGACCGUAGGAGAAAUCAAGGUCUUUGGGUUCUGGGGGGAGUAUGGUCGCAAGGCUGAAACUUAAAGGAAUUGACGGUUUUGCACCACCAUGGAGUGGAGUCUGCGGCUUAAUUUGACUCAACACUGGGAAACUCAUCAGGGCAAGAAGAUUUUAGGAUUGACAGAUUGAGAGUUCUUUCUUGAUUGGUCUAGUGGUGGUGCAUGGCCGUUCUUAGUUGGUGGAGUGAUUUGUCUGGUUAAUUCCGUUAACGAACGAGACCUUAACCUGCUAACUAGUACUCUGAUCCCUAAUCGGAGGUACUUCUUAGAGGGACUAUGUGUGGUAAGCACAUGGAAGUUUGAGGCAAUAACAGGUCUGUGAUGCCCUUAGAUGUCCUGAGCUGCACGCGUACUACAAUGGCACUUUCAACGAGUUUUUCCUGAUCCGAAAGGAUUUGGGUAAUCUUUUCAGGGAGUGCCG